CCGGAACUCGAAGCUCGACCUCUUGCUGUGAGGUAACAUAACCACUGAUCCACCGUGUCGCCUGUUUAAUAAGUGCAGAAAAAACACACUACACAAAGGCAGUUUUGUUAAAGGACUCCCUGAUUAAUGGAUCUGAAUGGAGAAGUGAUGCCAAGGCAUGCAGAAAUAAAAUACAUUGGCCAGUGACAGCGGUUGCAGUCAACACAAAGCACUCGAACACUGGUCGGGCCUUCAGGAGCCCGAUAGCUGAGCGUGAAGAAAACGUUGGCCUGCAUGCUGUCCCGAAUCAGGAACGUCCCAAGGGGAAGAUUCGCCAGUCUCGCAUGAGCUUCGUCCACAUCCAAAGGGCCCCAGUAAAAUCCACUGUGAGUCAAGUAAACCACAGCCUGUUUGAUAAGAUUGCAUUCCUGCUGGUCCCGGAAAGGGUGAAAGUGUGUUGGUGGGACGGAGCAGGGUUUCGGAGGCUCUGCGGAUUUGGGUGGUGCAUUUGUAUGGCCGUUGUCAUUGUGAUGGACCAUUCUGAACUGAAGCCCACUCAUGACAUUCCUCCAUGAUCUUAAAGCAUAGACGAUUGAUUCUGUGCAGACUGUGUGUAAAAAGGACAAAGAGUUUGAAACAUCAGAUAAAAGCUCUGAUCGAAGACAGUACAGAUGAUUUUAAGUGUGCACAAAUUGUCAUUUUUUUUAUAGCGAAAAGGUCUAUUUAUAUUGGGAUGAUGAUCAAAAAAGGUUAGUAUUAGUAGUAUUAUUAAUGACUAGUACUAUUAAUUUAUUAAAAUAAUUAAUUAAUAUUAUUACUAUUAAUUCAUAAAUGAAUACUAAUCAUUUAUUUUGUAUUAUAUUACAGUAAACAUUUUUUAAAAAGG
rnacentral:lncRNA from 1 species